GACGAACGCUGGCGGCGUGCCUAAUACAUGCAAGUAGAACGCUGAAGGAGGAGCUUGCUUCUCCGGAUGAGUUGCGAACGGGUGAGUAACGCGUAGGUAACCUGCCUGGUAGCGGGGGAUAACUAUUGGAAACGAUAGCUAAUACCGCAUAACAGUAGAUAUUGCAUGAUAUCUGCUUGAAAGGUGCAAUUGCAUCACUACCAGAUGGACCUGCGUUGUAUUAGCUAGUUGGUGGGGUAACGGCUCACCAAGGCGACGAUACAUAGCCGACCUGAGAGGGUGAUCGGCCACACUGGGACUGAGACACGGCCCAGACUCCUACGGGAGGCAGCAGUAGGGAAUCUUCGGCAAUGGACGGAAGUCUGACCGAGCAACGCCGCGUGAGGGAAGAAGGUUUUCGGAUCGUAAAGCUCUGUUGUAAGAGAAGAACGAGUGUGAGAGUGGAAAGUUCACACUGUGACGGUAUCUUACCAGAAAGGGACGGCUAACUACGUG
rnacentral:rRNA from 1 species